rnacentral:tRNA from 1 species
GCCGACGUGGCUCGACUAAGAAAGGCACCCGUUUUGUAAACGGGCCCAUGCUGGUGCAAAUCCAGUCGUCGGCUCCU